GAUGAACGCUGGCGGCGUGCUUAACACAUGCAAGUCGAACGGAAAGGCUCCUGCUUGCAGGGGUACUCGAGUGGCGAACGGGUGAGUAACACGUGGGUGAUCUGCCCAGCACUUCGGGAUAAGCCUGGGAAACUGGGUCUAAUACCGGAUAGGACGAUGGUUUGGAUGCCAUUGUGGAAAGUUUUUUCGGUGUGGGAUGAGCUCGCGGCCUAUCAGCUUGUUGGUGGGGUAAUGGCCUACCAAGGCGUCGACGGGUAGCCGGCCUGAGAGGGUGUACGGCCACAUUGGGACUGAGAUACGGCCCAGACUCCUACGGGAGGCAGCAGUGGGGAAUAUUGCACAAUGGGCGCAAGCCUAAUGCAGCGACGCCGCGUGGGGGAUGACGGCCUUCGGGUUGUAAACUCCUUUCGCUAGGGACGAAGCGCAAGUGACGGUACCUGGAGAAGAAGCACCGGCUAACUACGUG
rnacentral:rRNA from 1 species